rnacentral:rRNA from 1 species
UCCACGCCGUAAACGAUGGAUACUAGGUGUAGGGGGUUAGACUCCCUCUGUGCCGCAGUUAACGCAAUAAGUAUCCCGCCUGGGGAGUACGGUCGCAAGAUUGAAACUCAAAGGAAUUGACGGGGGCCCGCACAAGCGGUGGAGCAUGUGGUUUAAUUCGAUGCAACGCGAAGAACCUUACCAGGGCUUGACAUCCCAUGACAGCCUAUGAAAGUAGGAAUUCCCUUCGGGGACAUGGAGACAGGUGGUGCAUGGUUGUCGUCAGCUCGUGUCGUGAGAUGUUGGGUUAAGUCCCGCAACGAGCGCAACCCUUAUCCUUAGUUGCCAGCAUUAAGUUGGGGACUCUAGGGAGACUGCCGGUGACAAACCGGAGGAAGGUGGGGAUGACGUCAAAUCAUCAUGCCCUUUAUGCCCUGGGCUAC